rnacentral:lncRNA from 1 species
AAUGAAUGUAGAAAAGUGAAAGGAAAAUCUAAGGGAAUUCUAAAGAUAAUCCUAAUGUUGGCAUGCAAUAGUGGUCCUAUAGUUAGGAUAAAAGGGAAAUAUCUACCUAAAUUAGCAUGUAUAGAUUGACCUAUGGUUAAGGAUCAAAGGCACUCCCUAAUAUUGUCAUGCUUGGUUAACAAACCUAAAGUCUACUUUAGUUCAGUCUCAACCAAGAAUGAACCAUAGAAAUCCUAUGGGAACAUGUUAUCCACACAAGGAAAAGAGAUAGAAGAAGAUGAUAAUUC